GACGAACGCUGGCGGCGUGCCUAAUACAUGCAAGUCGAGCGAAUGGAAGGGAGCUUGCUCCCUGAAGUUAGCGGCGGACGGGUGAGUAACACGUGGGCAACCUGCCUGUAAGACUGGGAUAACUUCGGGAAACCGGAGCUAAUACCGGAUACGUUCUUUCCUCGCAUGAGGAAAGAUGGAAAGAUGGUUUCGGCUAUCACUUACAGAUGGGCCCGCGGCGCAUUAGCUAGUUGGUGGGGUAAUGGCCCACCAAGGCGACGAUGCGUAGCCGACCUGAGAGGGUGAUCGGCCACACUGGGACUGAGACACGGCCCAGACUCCUACGGGAGGCAGCAGUAGGGAAUCUUCCGCAAUGGACGAAAGUCUGACGGAGCAACGCCGCGUGAGCGAAGAAGGCCUUCGGGUCGUAAAGCUCUGUUGUCAGGGAAGAACGAGUGCCAGAGUAACUGCCGGCACCUUGACGGUACCUGACCAGAAAGCCACGGCUAACUACGUGCCAGCCGCCGCUGUAA
rnacentral:rRNA from 1 species